AAAAUAAAUAAAUAAAAUCUUAAAAAAUAAAACAAAAGAAUAAUUCUGGGAGGCCAGGCUCCCUAAAUUACCCCACUUCAUAGAGAAGGAAAUUAAGAACCAAGCAGGGAAAGAAACAUACUUAAGGUCACGUGGAUGUUUGAGUCAACUGGGAUAUAGAACUUGGUCUCUCAACUCACACACCAGGUCUGAUCCUGGUUCAAGGUGAUGAAGAGGACCAAUUCAUUACUAGGUGCUGAGCCCCUACCGAAUUGUGGAAUAUCUUGUACUUGGCGCUGGUGUACAGUUCAGUGGUUUUUAGUAUAUUCAGAGUUGUGCAACCACUACCACUACCUAAUUCCAGAACAUUUCACUCCCAAAGAAACCUUGUACUCAUUUGCAAUCAGUUUCCAUUCCUCCCUUUCUCUAGCACCUGGAAACCACUAAUCUACUGUGUCUCUAUGAAUUUGCCUAUUCUAGGCAUUUCAUAUAAAUUGAAUUACAAUAUGUGGCCUUUUAUGUCUGGCUCCUUUCAUUUAGCAUGAUGUUUUCAAGGUUCAUCUGUGUUGUGCAUUUAUCACUACUUCAUUCUGUUUUUAGGCCAACUAACAUCCCAUUGCAUGUGUAUUUCACAUUUUAUUUAUUCAUCAGGUGAGUGACGUUUGGGUUGGGUUGUUUACACUAUUUAGCUAUUGUGAAUAGCAAAACACACGUGCACACAAAAACUUACAUGUGAACCUUCACGUGUAAAUUUUUGUGUGGAUGUAUGUUUUCAAUUUUUCCUGCAUUUUUGCUGACUUUUUGAGUCAGUUUCUAUUUUUUUAAAUAUAGAUUGAAACGGGUGAUUUUUUUCUGUAAAGGGUCAAAUAGUAAAUAUGUUAGGCUUUGUGGGCCGUAUGCCCUAGCAAGUGCUGAACUGCAGUUGUAACAUGAAAGCCACCAUAGACAUUAUGUAAACAAGUAACUGUGGAUAUGCUUCAGUGAAACUUGAAGCAGGCAUUGGGCCAUGUUUGGACUGUGACCUAUAGUUUGUCAACCUCUAAUCUAGAUGAUUUUUCACAUAAUUUGAUACUCCACAACUACAAAAUGUGAAAAUUCUUCCUCCUACUUCUGUCCUCCCACCGCAAGUUUCCCUCCUUUGAAGCAAUUCAUGUUGUGAAAUUUUGCAUCUCCUUUCAGAGACAGUUGAUAAACAGCACAUUUUUAAGUGGCUGUGUAAAGUUCCAAUGUGUUGUAGAUAGGUUCAUCAACAUGCAACAACUAAUAUAUCUGAAGGCAUACCCUGAAAGACAGCACUAUUUCCAGAGUGUUGCUCUGACCUGCCCAAUUGACUCCUCCAUCAGAAUAAUCUUUGGAACUCAUGGGAUUUUCCCAGGAAUUUUGGGGACUAUGUCUAAUGAAUAUAUUGGUUGAUCCCUUUUGGAUCAAAAACAAGCUCUGAUUCUCAAGGGACACAGGUUUUUCUUGGAUAGUUUUUGUCCUAGUCAGAGUUCCACUAGAGAAACACAACUAGUAGGGUAUACUUUAUCUAUCAUCUUUUAUCUAUUUAUCAUCUAUCAUCUUUCAUCUAUGCAUCCAUCUAGAUUUGUGGCGAGAAAUUGGCUUACCUGGCUGUGGGGCUAGGUGGGCAAGUCUGGAAUCCGUACUGCAGGCUGUAAAGAAGGUCAGGCUGGAAACUUUUAGGAGCCGACUGCAGUCCACAGGUGGAAUUUCUUCUUCAGGGAAGCCUCAGGCCUCUCAGCGAGUGGGAUCAGGUUGAUCUGUGUUAAUCGGGAAAAUCUCCUUUACAUGAAGUUAACUGAUUGUAGAUGUUAAUCAUAUCUACAAAAUACCUUCACAGCAACAUCUAGAUUAGUGUUUGAUUAGGUAUCAGAGCCUAGUCAACACACAGAAUUGAUCCCAGUUCACACCUAAUCAAUCUGGCACCCAUACAUGUCUCCUUAUACCAUACUUAGGCUCCAUAAAACCAAUAACAAAGCCAUACUUCCACUUAACAUGGUACAGUUACCCUGCAUACAACUGAAAACAUGCUAACUCUUCUUUGCCUUUUGAUUCAGAGGUAUGAGGAGCCCAAAAUGACCAGGUGGCAGUCUAACUUCCAAUUCAGUGGAAUCAGUGUUGUGUUUCCUGGUGAGACCAUUCCUCCCUUUGCAAUGAAGACCUGUAGACCAGCAGAGCGUAAGGUUGCAAGGAUGGGAAGCAAAAAGUUUGCUAAUGGAUACUAGUGAGACGUACCAUUUCAUUUCCUCUUCUUCAUUACUGGAACCAUGGACCCUGGCUGGGGGAGAAACCACACCAUACAUGGGAUGUUGAUUUAGAGCACAUACAGUCUCCCGAAGGGUAUUGCCCCAACCCUGCAUGGUGUUGCCACCUAGUUGGUGCUGUAACUGGAUCUUCAAAAGGCUAUUCAACCCUUCUAUCAAGUCAGCUACUUCAGGAUAAUGGGAAACAUGGUAAGACCAGUAAAUUCUGUGAACAUGGGCCCUUUGCUGCACCUCAUUUGCCAUGAAGUGAGUUCCUUUAUUAGAAGCGAUGCUGUGUGAAAUACCAUGAUGGUGGAUAAGGUAUUCUGGAAGUCCACAAAUGGUAGUUUUGGCCUAAGUGCUACAUGUAGGGAAAGCAAAUCCAUAUCCAGGGUGAGUUAUUUUAGUGAGAACAAAGCACUGCCCCUUCCAUGAUGGAAGUAGUCCAAUGUAAUCAACCUGCCACGAGAUAGCUGGCUGAUCACCCCAGGGAAUGGUGUCGGGUCUCAGUGUUAGUCUCUGUUGCAGGCAGAUAGGGUUCUCAGCAGUGGCUUAGCCAGCUUGGCUUUGGUGAGUAGAAGUCCAUGUUGCUGAGCCCAUCAAUAAGCUCCAUCCCUGCCACCUGGCUACCUUGUUCAUAAGCCAAUGGGCAAUGACAAGCAUGGCUGGGAAGAGGCUGACUGGUAUCCACGGGACAGGUCAUCCUAUCCACUUGAUUAUUAAAAUCCUCCAAUGCAGAGGGCACAUGGGACACAAACAUCUUCACAUUCCUUGCCCAUUUAGAGAGACCCACAUCCUAGAUUCCGUGUUGCCAAUUUUGUGGUCCUGUUCCUAUCAAGUCCCUGACUGUCCAGCCAAACCACUGACCGUAGCUCAUGAAUCAACAUAGUUUAUGCUUCUGGCCAUUUCUUUUCUAAGCACAAUAAAUAAUCAGGUGCCCUGCUGCAAGUUCUGUCCACUGGGAAGGUUUGCCUUCGCCUCUGUCCUGCACGGAUAUCCUAGAAAGGGGCUGUCCCUGCCACAGCUGCCCACUUUUGGGUGGCACCUGUAGCCAGUCCUGAGUUUUCUCUUCCUUAGUCAACUGGUCACAGGGAACUCCCAUGACACCAUGGGUGCAGGCUGGGAGAGAGAAGGUAAUAUAACAGGAAUAGGGACUGUGGGCAUUUGAGUUACUUCAUCAUCCCAGAGAAAGACUGAACCAGCAGAAGAUAUAUAUCUCCUAUCCAGAAUCACCAGCAAUAUAUAAUAUACAUACAUGCACAUAUAUAAAACUAUUGAUAAUUAUGAUUAAUGGGUAUCAAAAUAUGAUCCUAAAGAUAUA